rnacentral:rRNA from 1 species
AAAGCCCUUUCGGGGGUGAGUAGAGUGGCGUCCGGGUGAGUAACACGUAGGUAAUCUACCUCUGGGUGGGGAAUAACGUCUCGAAAGAGACGCUAAUACCGCAUAAUGCAGCGGCACCUAAUGGUGAAUGGUUGUUAAAGCGGGGGACCCGCAAGGGCCUUGCGCCUAGAGAGGAGCCUGCGGCAGAUUAGCUAGUUGGUGAGGUAAUGGCUCACCAAGGCUUCGAUCUGUAGCUGGUCUGAGAGGACGGCCAGCCACACUGGCACUGACACACGGGCCAGACUCCUACGGGAGGCAGCAGUGGGGAAUUUUGGGCAAUGGGCGAAAGCCUGACCCAGCAACGCCGCGUGAGGGAGGAAAUCCUUCGGGAUGUAAACCUCACAAGCAAGGGAAGAGCGCGAAGAGGCGAAUACCUUCUUCGUCCGACGGUACCUUGCGUAAGCCACGGCUAACUACGUGCCAGCAGCCGCGGUAAUACGUAGGUGGCAAGCGUUGUUCGGAAUUAUUGGGCGUAAAGGGCGCGUAGGCGGUUUGUUAAGUCAGCUGUGAAAGCCCGGGGCUCAACCCCGGAGGGUCAGCUGAUACUGGCAGACUAGAGUACAGAAGAGGUACUGGAAUUCCCGGUGUAGCGGUGAAAUGCGUAGAUAUCGGGAGGAACACCUGAGGCGAAGGCGGGUUACUGGGCUGAUACUGACGCUGAUGCGCGAAAGCCAGGGGAGCAAACGGGAUUAGAUACCCCGGUAGUCCUGGCCCUAAACGAUGGAUACUUGGUGUGUCGGGUCUUCAAGUCCCGGCGUGCCGGAGCUAACGCGUUAAGUAUCCCGCCUGGGGAGUACGGUCGCAAGGCUG